GCAAGUCGCACGAGAACGUUUCAGCUUGCUGAAACUAGUAAAGUGGCGCACGGGUGAGUAACGCGUGGGUAAUCUACCUCCGAAUUGGGGAUAACAUUGCGAAAGCGAUGCUAAUACCGAAUGACAUCUCAAUAACUCCGGUCUUUGAGAUCAAAGGUGGCCUCUCCAUGGAAGCUACUGUUUGGAGAUGAGCCCGCGUACCAUUAGCUUGUUGGUAGGGUAAUGGCCUACCAAGGCGACGAUGGUUAGCUGGUCUGAGAGGAUGAUCAGCCACACUGGAACUGACACACGGUCCAGACUCCUACGGGAGGCAGCAGUGAGGAAUUUUUGCGCAAUGGGGGAAACCCUGACGCAGCAACGCCGCGUGAGUGAUGAAGGCUUUCGGGUCGUAAAGCUCUGUCAAGUGAGAAGAACCUGCCCUUUGCUAAUAUCACUGGGCACUGACGGUAUCACUGAAGGAAGCACCGGCUAACUCCGUG
rnacentral:rRNA from 1 species